GACGAACGCUGGCGGCGUGCUUAACACAUGCAAGUCGAACGAUGACGACCGAGCUUGCUCGGUCUGAUUAGUGGCGAACGGGUGAGUAACACGUGAGCAACCUGCCCUUCACUCUGGGAUAACCUCGGGAAAUCGGGGCUAAUACCGGAUAUGAGCUCCUGUCGCAUGGCGGGUGUUGGAAAGUUUUUCGGUGAAGGAUGGGCUCGCGGCCUAUCAGUUUGUUGGUGAGGUAGUGGCUCACCAAGGCGAUGACGGGUAGCCGGCCUGAGAGGGCGACCGGCCACGCUGGGACUGAGACACGGCCCAGACUCCUACGGGAGGCAGCAGUGGGGAAUAUUGCACAAUGGGCGAAAGCCUGAUGCAGCGACGCCGCGUGAGGGAUGACGGCCUUCGGGUUGUAAACCUCUUUCAGCAGGGAAGAAGCGAAAGUGACGGUACCUGCAGAAGAAGCGCCGGCUAACUACGUG
rnacentral:rRNA from 1 species